rnacentral:tRNA from 1 species
GGGUCGGAAGCUGAUACGGAAUAGCGGCGGGCUGUUAACCCGCGUGUAGUGGGUUCGAUUCCCACCCGACCCUC